rnacentral:rRNA from 1 species
GAUGAACGCUGGCGGCGUGCUUAACACAUGCAAGUCGAACGAUGAAGCCCAGCUUGCUGGGUGGAUUAGUGGCGAACGGGUGAGUAACACGUGAGCAACCUGCCCCUGACUCUGGGAUAAGCGCUGGAAACGGCGUCUACUACUGGGUACGAACAAGAAUCGAUUGGUUACUUGUUGGAAAGAUUUUUUGGUUGGCGAUGGGCUCGCGGCCUAUCAGCUUGUUGGUGAGGUAAUGGCUCACCAAGGCGUCGACGGGUAGCCGGCCUGAGAGGGUGACCGGCCACACUGGGACUGAGACACGGCCCAGACUCCUACGGGAGGCAGCAGUGGGGAAUAUUGCACAAUGGGCGGAAGCCUGAUGCAGCAACGCCGCGUGAGGGAUGACGGCCUUCGGGUUGUAAACCUCUUUUAGCAGGGAAGAAGCGAGAGUGACGGUACCUGCAGAAAAAGCGCCGGCUAACUACGUGCCAGCAGCCGCCGUAAUAC